rnacentral:tRNA from 1 species
CACCCGGUAGCUCAGUGGUUAGAGCGCUAGCUUCCCAAGCCAGAGGACUGGGGUUCGAUUCCCCGGCCGGGUGG